UAUGGAACGUCCAGCAGCUUUCUGAGGCCUGAAUGCGGAUCUCUGUCAUCUUUAAAACUGGAAUUUCCCUGUCACCAGCCACAGGCACAGAAAGUUCUCAGCACCUUGGGGCUAGGAUGCCACACACUGGAAACUAUGCAUAGUUUUAGGAACACCAGGUUUACUAAAAAUUCAGCGAUGAAAUACUUUUGUAUCUAAACAUCUGACAUCCUGCCGCUGUUCGUUGUGACUGGUGACUUGACUGGGUUAAAGGAGGCUGAGCAGACUGGGUGAAGCUGCAGUGGCUGCUGCAGAAGUCCAGGUACUGGUGCCAUAAGGCAGCCCCGCGUCACCAACACGUACCUUGCCAGGUGCGUUCCCACGCGGAGGCGGAACCGGCUCCUGGGCCCAGUAAGGCCCCUCCCUGAAUCGCCUCAGCCGUUCCACAGAGGACGCAGCUUCCACCGCGCUGAACAGGGCUCCUUCACUGAUCUCUCUUCCAUUCAGUCGUUGAACGUGAAGAACCAUUUCUCUGGCCCACGACAUUUUCUUAAGGACAGCCACAUUCUUUACAUUGGAAACAAUCAUAAAACUUUGAAGAAACGUUUUAAAAUAUUCCACAAGGUGAAUUCUACCUUCAAGGCUUCUAAAGACACCAGAGUUUAUCAGUGUCCAUGAGCAGCAGGAGGCUGGACAACCAAAGGAAGAGACAGCAAAACAGGUCAGAAUUCUGGCGUUCUGAAACUCCAUAAGAGGGUUUCACCAAACACAAAAUGUGACACAGGAAGAACUGGAAUGAUUGCAGCUCUGUAAGACCAAACUGUGGUCCCAGUCUGGAAAGUUCAUGCAAAGACUGGGGAUGUCCUUCCUAAAGACAAUGAAGCAUUUCAGUUUAAAGAAAAUCAAGAUGAUAAUGCACUAGUCAUCUACUUAGUCAUCUCACUGAAUUGUUCAGUAGCUAUUGGAAGGGCC
rnacentral:lncRNA from 1 species